AACUUAUAAAAGCGACCUCAGUUCGGAUUGAAGGCUGAAAUUCGCCUUCAUGAAGUCGGAAUUGCUAGUAAUGGCAGGUCAGCAUACUGCCGUGAAUACGUUCCCGGGCCUUGUACACACCGCCCGUCACACCAUGAGAGUUGGAGAUACCCGAAGCCUAUGAGCUAACUUUUAGAGGCAGUAGUCGAAGGUAGAAUCAAUGAUUGGGGUGAAGUCGUAACAAGGUACC
rnacentral:rRNA from 1 species